rnacentral:rRNA from 1 species
UACAGAGGUGGCAAGCGUUGUUCGGAAUUACUGGGCGUAAAGCGUGCGCAGGCGGUUUGUUAAGUCUGCUGUGAAAUCCCCGAGCUCAACUUGGGAAUUGCAGUGGAUACUGGCAGGCUGGAGUAUGGUAGAGGAAGGUGGAAUUCCCGGUGUAGCGGUGAAAUGCGUAGAGAUCGGGAGGAACACCAGUGGCGAAGGCGGCCUUCUGGACCAGCACUGACACUCAAGCACGAAAGCGUGGGGAGCAAACAGG